AGUGAACGCUGGCGGUAGGCCUAACACAUGCAAGUCGAACGGCAGCACAGUAAGAGCUUGCUCUUACGGGUGGCGAGUGGCGGACGGGUGAGGAAUACAUCGGAAUCUACUUUUUCGUGGGGGAUAACGUAGGGAAACUUACGCUAAUACCGCAUACGACCUACGGGUGAAAGCAGGGGAUCUUCUGACCUUGCGCGAUUGAAUGAGCCGAUGUCGGAUUAGCUAGUUGGCGGGGUAAAGGCCCACCAAGGCGACGAUCCGUAGCUGGUCUGAGAGGAUGAUCAGCCACACUGGAACUGAGACACGGUCCAGACUCCUACGGGAGGCAGCAGUGGGGAAUAUUGGACAAUGGGCGCAAGCCUGAUCCAGCAAUACCGCGUGGGUGAAGAAGGCCUUCGGGUUGUAAAGCCCUUUUGUUGGGAAAGAAAAGCAGCAGGUUAAUACCCCGCUGUUCUGACGGUACCCAAAGAAUAAGCACCGGCUAACUUCGUG
rnacentral:rRNA from 1 species